GUUUGAAAUCAUUCGCAAUAAUAAUAAUUAAAUAUGGUGCAAAUGUGAUUCAUUACGGGAUGCCAAAGUAAAGGAGUCAAGGGCAAUGCCUGUUCAUUUUUCCGGUGAUUUUAUGCGCUUAAUAAAAAAUUGCGCGAGUUGCAUCUGUUUUCUAAUUCUAAUUU